rnacentral:lncRNA from 1 species
UAAUAUUGCCAUCCCCAUGUGUCCCCGUAAAAUGUCUCAAUUAUUAUAGUAAAUCAAUUUUGCUACGUUAGUCAAAUUUUGACUUCGACUGGAAGUUACUACCUAGUUUAUUAACACGUUAAAACUGCAUCAAUUACGACAAAGGUUUACGGUUUACUGUCAACUUUUCUUGUUUUUUAACAGCAAUCUAGCCAGAGAAUACAUGGUAUUGGGAUAAACCGUAAUCGUACCCCUUCCUAACUGCCAAAGUGUCAUGGCCGCCGUCGGGACCUAUUGUGCUGACAUUUACAAUGUUUACAUAUAGAAAAGUUUGUUUUUUUCUGCUUAUAAUGCCGUUUUCUAAAGAUAUUAGUGAACAAAAUCGAUUUGCUAACAAUAUUUAAUAUAUUUUAAAUGUGCUAAAAUUGGAUUCAACAGCAAAAGUCGCAUAAAUAACAUAUAAAUGACGAAUUUGUUUACCUAUUACAAAUGGGGUUAUGUGGUUGUAACUGUUUAUUUUGGGAAUAAAAUGAAAAUGAUCAAUUAAACGACUGGAAAACUAUAGUAAAGUGAAGAACAUCGUGAAGUUCCAAUGAUGUUUCAAGAUGAGAUAAAUCGAAAUAAUGGUUGUAUGUUAGAAGGACAGAGAAUACGAAGAAAUGUUAUUGCUGCAUACUUAGUGUAGUGAAAUACAAACUUCAAACAUUAUAA